CCUACGUGUGGCUGCAGUGGGGAAUAUUGGACAAUGGGGGGAACCCUGAUCCAGCCAUGCCGCGUGUGUGAAGAAGGCCCUCGGGUUGUAAAGCACUUUCAGUGAGGAAGAACGCCUGGUGGUUAAUACCCAUCAGGAAAGACAUCACUCACAGAAGAAGCACCGGCUAACUCCGUGCCAGCAGCCGCGGUAAUACGGAGGGUGCGAGCGUUAAUCGGAAUUACUGGGCGUAAAGCGCGCGUAGGUGGCUUGAUAAGCCGGUUGUGAAAGCCCCGGGCUCAACCUGGGAACGGCAUCCGGAACUGUCAAGCUAGAGUGCAGGAGAGGAAGGUAGAAUUCCCGGUGUAGCGGUGAAAUGCGUAGAGAUCGGGAGGAAUACCAGUGGCGAAGGCGGCCUUCUGGACUGACACUGACACUGAGGUGCGAAAGCGUGGGUAGCAAACAGGAUUAGAUACCCGUGUAGUC
rnacentral:rRNA from 1 species